AUGGGUUUUAGAGAUGUACACUACUUCAAUCUGGCGCUCCUAGCAAAGCAAUGCUGGAGAUUGCUAGCAGAACCUGAGUCUUUAUGUGCCAGAGUAUUGAGGGCAAAGUAUUUCCCGGACGGUGAUUUGCUGAAUUGUCCUCUCAAGAAAGGCAGUUCUUACACAUGGCAAAGCCUGUGGAGCGGUAUUCAGACCUUCAAAAAAAGUUAUAUAUGGAGAGUGGGAGAUGGUACUCAAAUUAGCAUUUGGAGUGAUCCAUGGAUACCCAGUAGCCCAAACAGAAAGGUAAUGACUCCACGAGGUAAUAUCUUACCCACAAAAGUUGCUGAACUUAUGGAUCAGGAGAAUGGAGGCUGGGAUGAGCAACUAAUUCGAUAUAUAUUCUGGCCAAUUGAUGCAAACUGUAUCUUGAACAUACCCCUGGCAACGGGGAUGAUGGAGGACUUUGUUUCAUGGCACUACAACAAAUCUGGAAUUUUCUCGGUCAGGACGGCUUACCACAUGGAGUGGGAUCAUCAACAUGGACGAAAGUUGAGAUAAACGAAUUCGGUAUUGUCUUCAAGUACUAGUCCUGUUUGGCGCAUUCUAUGGAAGCUUCGAGUACCGGCAAAAGUUAAAGUGCAUGUUUGGCGCGCUCUGUAUGGUGCAAUUCCGUGUCAGGGUGUGCUAGCAAACCGACAUAUGAUAACAACUUCGGAUUGUCCAAUCUGUGAAGCUGAUUGUGAAAGUGUUCGCCACUCUUUUUUCAGAUGCAACAGGGUCCAAGAAAUCUGGACUAGGCUGGGUUUGUCUUCUACUAUUACUGGACUUUGUGAAGCAGAGUCGGAGGGUUCGUCGGUCCUAGGUGAUCUGUUACUGAUGCCCAAUGCCACUGUUCCAUCAUUCCCAGGUGUCACCAAGAAGGAGCUAGCGGCCGUGGCGGUGUGGUACAUCUAG
rnacentral:rRNA from 1 species